rnacentral:rRNA from 1 species
AUGAUUUCCUUAGUAACGGCGAGUGAAGAGGAAAAAGCUCAAAGUUGUAACCUAUUUGGCUUAGCCAAAUCGGAUUGUAGACUGGAGAAGUGUUUUAUGGCACGCCGAGUGAAAAAGUCCCUUGGAACAGGGCAUCAUAGAGGGUGAGAAUCCCGUGAAUUCACUUGAGUAUAUGUUGUCAACUUUAAUACACUUUCAAAGAGUCAGGUUGUUUGGGAAUGCAGCCUAAAUUGGGUGGUAAAUCUCACCUAAAGCUAAAUAUUGGCGAGAGACCGAUAGCGAACAAGUACCGUGAGGGAAAGAUGAAAAGAACUUUGAAAAGAGAGUUAAACAGUACGUGAAAUUGUUAAAAGGGAACCGUUUGGAGCCAGACCGGCUUUAUCGUAAUCAAUCUAGGUUUCGACCUGGAUGCACUUGCGGUAGAUUUGCCUGCCAACGACAGUUUUUUUUGAGGGAAAAAACUAGGAGGAAUGUGGCCCUUAACUUGUUAGGGGUGUUAUAGCCUUUUAGAAAAUACCUUGAAUUGGACUGAGGAACGCAGCGAAUGCUCUUUAGGGCGAAAUUAGUUGAGUGCUUUGGCUGAUAGAUGCUAGAAUUUCUGCUUCGGGUGGUGCUAGUGUUUAAAGGUUAAACUCGCUUGAUUUAUUUUUUAUUCGCUUAGGUUGUUGGCUUAAUGACUCUAAAUGAC